rnacentral:rRNA from 1 species
AGAGCGAACGCUGGCGGCAGGCUUAACACAUGCAAGUCGAACGGAUCCUUCGGGAUUAGUGGCGGACGGGUGAGUAACACGUGGGAACGUGCCUUUUGGUUCGGAACAACUCAGGGAAACUUGAGCUAAUACCGGAUGUGCCCUUCGGGGGAAAGAUUUAUCGCCAUUAGAGCGGCCCGCGUCUGAUUAGCUAGUUGGUGAGGUAAAGGCCCACCAAGGCUACGAUCAGUAGCUGGUCUGAGAGGAUGACCAGCCACAUUGGGACUGAGACACGGCCCAAACUCCUACGGGAGGCAGCAGUGGGGAAUAUUGGACAAUGGGCGCAAGCCUGAUCCAGCCAUGCCGCGUGAGUGAUGAAGGCCCUAGGGUUGUAAAGCUCUUUUAACGGGGAAGAUAAUGACGGUACCCGUAGAAUAAGCCCCGGCUAACUUCGCGCCAGCAGCCGC